CACUGCACACCAAAACAACAAUUCACAUUCACUUGACUUGGCCAGCCCUAUUAAUUUGUCUAGCUUGUAGGUGGACUGUUUAAGCAGCAGCCAAGGAAGAAAAUUUGAAAAGUUGCCCAAAUAGUCAAACGUUGUCACCUGAUCCUCACCCGAAGCCGAAAUCUUUCUUCCUCUUAACAGUUCACUACUUCACCUAACCUAAAUCUUUCUUCCCCUUUUCUUCAAAACGGCAAAACCAGAAAGGGCUGCCUUGCCCUUCACCAGUUCACCUCACGGUCCUCACCUCAUCACCUGUCACUAGCAGACGGCGGUUAGAAGUAAGUAACGGCUUUUCUUCUCUGAGGUCUGAGCAGCAGAUCGAGAUCGAUUAUUGAAGAAGUGAAAAAUAUAUACAGAUUUACUGAUUUAGAUCGAGCUUAGCUUCUGCAUGUUUUAGUAUUUUGACCAUCAUAUUGUUGAACUAGGUUUUUUUCUAUUCUCUGUUUCAGAGAUGAAGAAAAAAGAAACAGGUGUUGUUAUUCUUAGCCAAGGUAGAUGAUUUGGUCUUAAAUUCAUUGUAUCUGAUUAGCUGCCUUGUGUUGUUGCUAGUGGCAAUUUGCAAGCCAAAUGCAACAAUUGAACCACUGGGAUUAGUUUCUAUUCUUAUGGUGUUUUUUUUUUAGUUUGGAAUUGAUUCUGUUAAAAUCAUAGCCAAUACAUCAGUAAAAUGAAAUUAAAUUUUGGGUCGUUUUGGGUCAACCCAUUUGACCCGUCAACCCAAAAAUUUUGGAUUCAGG
rnacentral:lncRNA from 1 species